rnacentral:rRNA from 1 species
UAGGGAAUCUUCCGCAAUGGACGAAAGUCUGACGGAGCGACGCCGCGUGAGUGAUGAAGGUCUUCGGAUCGUAAAACUCUGUUGUUAGGGAAGAAUAAGUAUCGGAGUAAUAUGCCGGUACCUUGACGGUACCUAACCAGAAAGCCCCGGCUAACUACGUGCCAGCAGCCGCGGUAAUACGUAGGGGGCAAGCGUUGUCCGGAAUUAUUGGGCGUAAAGGGCACGCAGGCGGUUGUCUAAGUCUGAUGUGAAAUCUUGCAGCUUAACUGCAAGCGGCCAUUGGAAACUGGAUAACUUGAGUGCAGAAGAGGAGAGUGGAAUUCCACGUGUAGCGGUGAAAUGCGUAGAGAUGUGGAGGAACACCAGUGGCGAAGGCGGCUCUCUGGUCUGUAACUGACGC